GAUCCAAGUAGUUAGCUACUUGAAUGACAUCAGACAAACAAUCGUACACAUGCUAGUCAAAAUAGGUACCAGAGGAAGCAAGCUUGCAGUUGUCCAGGCUUUGGAAGCAAAACAAAAGUUGCUGGACUCUUUUCCUAACUUAUCUAUUGAAAUUGUUAAGAUAAAAACUUCUGGAGAUAAGUAUGCAAACGCAAAUCUUGCUGAAAUAGGAGGCAAAGGAUUAUUCAUUAAAGAAAUUGAGGCUGAAUUGCUCGAAAAUAAUAUAGACAUGGCAGUUCACUCGCUAAAGGAUGUGCCUGCAUUUUUCUCAUGGGGUUUAACAAUUCCUUGUGUUUUAGAAAGGCUAAGUCCAUGCGAUGCGUUUAUUUCUCAUAAACACAAUAGCCUUGAGUCUUUGCCACAACAGGCUACUAUUGCCACUUCUGCAAUAAGAAGAAAAGUUCAGUUACUAAAUUUUAGACCAGAUUUAAAUAUAGUACCGCUACGUGGAAAUGUAACAACUAGAUUGCAAAAUCAAAGUUUUGAUGGAAUAAUUUUAGCUGAAGCAGGACUCAUAAGAUUAGAAAAACAUCACUUAAUUACAGAGGUAUUGCCACCAAAAGUUAUGUUAAGUGCAGUGGGACAGGGAGCGAUUUGUAUUCAAUGUAGAAGGAAUGAUGAGUGAAAUCAGAGCGCAGUUUUAUGAAGACAGUGAAUGGUUCAUGUUUUACACCACUUGCAGCUUUGGCUGAAUAUGUAAGCGAAAAUAUGCUAUACCUUCGUUGUAUGUUGGCAGAUGGAAAAAAUAUAUACUUCACUGAGCGCACUUCAUUUAUAGAAGAUGCGGAGAAAAUGGGUAUGGAUGCAGGGUUAGAGUUGAAAUCAAAAUGCUUAUAAGCUUACCUAAAGUACGUGGAAUCUAUCGUUAUGACAUCUUAAUGUCUAAAGCAACGUGGUUAAAUGUCGGUGGACGAGCUGAUAUAUUAUUUAAACCACGUGAUAUUGAAGAUUUAACAUGCUUGAUUAAAAACACUGAGUUGCCAGUUAGCGUUAUUGGUGCAACAUCCAACAUAAUAGUGCGAGAUAGUGGCAUUCGAGGAAUAACAGUAAAAUUAGGUAAGGAGUUUGCAUAUAUUAAAAGUAAGGGUAACAACUCUAU